CCUACGGGGGGCUGCAGUGGGGAAUUUUGGACAAUGGGCGAAAGCCUGAUCCAGCCAUGCCGCGUGCGGGAAGAAGGCCUUCGGGUUGUAAACCGCUUUUGUCAGGGAAGAAACGCUCCGAGCUAAUACCUCGGGGUAAUGACGGUACCUGAAGAAUAAGCACCGGCUAACUACGUGCCAGCAGCCGCGGUAAUACGUAGGGUGCAAGCGUUAAUCGGAAUUACUGGGCGUAAAGCGUGCGCAGGCGGCCAUGCAAGACAGAUGUGAAAUCCCCG
rnacentral:rRNA from 1 species